CUCUGUGACUCCUACGGGAGGCAGCAGUGGGGAAUAUUGCACAAUGGGGGAAACCCUGAUGCAGCCAUGCCGCGUGUGUGAAGAAGGCCUUCGGGUUGUAAAGCACUUUCAGUAGGGAGGAAGGUAGUGUAGUUAACACCUGCAUUAUUUGACGUUACCUACAGAAGAAGCACCGGCUAACUCCGUGCCAGCAGCCGCGGUAAUACGGAGGGUGCGAGCGUUAAUCGGAAUUACUGGGCGUAAAGCGCAUGCAGGCGGCUUGUUAAGUCAGAUGUGAAAGCCCGGGGCUUAACCUCGGAAUUGCAUUUGAAACUGGCAGGCUAGAGUCUUGUAGAGGGGGUAGAAUUUCAGGUGUAGCGGUGAAAUGCGUAGAGAUCUGAAGGAAUACCAGUGGCGAAGGCGGCCCCCUGGACAAAGACUGACGCUCAGAUGCGAAAGCGUGGGGAGCAAACAGGAUUAGACACCCUGGUGG
rnacentral:rRNA from 1 species